GANUCUGGUAUUGAUUGGUGCUUGCAUCAUGAUUUACAUUUGAGUGAGUGGCGAACUGGUGAGUAACACGUGGGAAACCUGCCCAGAAGCGGGGGAUAACACCUGGAAACAGAUGCUAAUACCGCAUAACAACUUGGACCGCAUGGUCCGAGUUUGAAAGAUGGCUUCGGCUAUCACUUUUGGAUGGUCCCGCGGCGUAUUAGCUAGAUGGUGGGGUAACGGCUCACCAUGGCAAUGAUACGUAGCCGACCUGAGAGGGUAAUCGGCCACAUUGGGACUGAGACACGGCCCAAACUCCUACGGGAGGCAGCAGUAGGGAAUCUUCCACAAUGGACGAAAGUCUGAUGGAGCAACGCCGCGUGAGUGAAGAAGGGUUUCGGCUCGUAAAACUCUGUUGUUAAAGAAGAACAUAUCUGAGAGUAACUGUUCAGGUAUUGACGGUAUUUAACCAGAAAGCCACGGCUAACUACGUGCCAGCAGCCGCGGUAAUACGUAGGUGGCAAGCGUUGUCCGGAUUUAUUGGGCGUAAAGCGAGCGCAGGCGGUUUUUUAAGUCUGAUGUGAAAGCCUUCGGCUCAACCGAAGAAGUGCAUCGGAAACUGGGAAACUUGAGUGCAGAAGAGGACAGUGGAACUCCAUGUGUAGCGGUGAAAUGCGUAGAUAUAUGGAAGAACACCAGUGGCGAANGCGGCUGUCUGGUCUGUAACUGACGCUGANGCUCGAAAGUAUGGGUAGCAAACAGGAUUAGAUACCCUGGUAGUCCAUACCGUAAACGAUGAAUGCUAAGUGUUGGAGGGUUUCCGCCCUUCAGUGCUGCAGCUAACGCAUUAAGCAUUCCGCCUGGGGANUACGGCCGCAAGGCUGAAACUCAAAGGAAUUGACGGGGGCNNGCACAAGCGGUGGAGCAUGUGGUUUAAUUCGAAGCUACNCGAAGAACCUUACC
rnacentral:rRNA from 2 species